GCAGUCGUACGCACUGGCCCAACUGAUUGAUGGUGCUUGCACCUGAUUGACGAUGGAUCACCAGUGAGUGGCGGACGGGUGAGUAACACGUAGGUAACCUGCCCCGGAGCGGGGGAUAACAUUUGGAAACAGAUGCUAAUACCGCAUAACAACAAAAGCCACAUGGCUUUUGUUUGAAAGAUGGCUUUGGCUAUCACUCUGGGAUGGACCUGCGGUGCAUUAGCUAGUUGGUAAGGUAACGGCUUACCAAGGCGAUGAUGCAUAGCCGAGUUGAGAGACUGAUCGGCCACAAUGGAACUGAGACACGGUCCAUACUCCUACGGGAGGCAGCAGUAGGGAAUCUUCCACAAUGGGCGCAAGCCUGAUGGAGCAACACCGCGUGAGUGAAGAAGGGUUUCGGCUCGUAAAGCUCUGUUGUUGGAGAAGAACGUGCGUGAGAGUAACUGUUCACGCAGUGACGGUAUCCAACCAGAAAGUCACGGCUAACUACGUGCCAGCAGCCGCGGUAAUACGUAGGUGGCAAGCGUUAUCCGGAUUUAUUGGGCGUAAAGCGAGCGCAGGCGGUUGCUUAGGUCUGAUGUGAAAGCCUUCGGCUUAACCGAAGAAGUG
rnacentral:rRNA from 2 species